AUUCUUCAUAAAAGCUAUGGCUAAGAGGGCUGCCGGCACCAGAGUCUCUGUGGCGCAAUCGGUUAGCGCGUUCGGCUGUUAACCGAAAGGUUGGUGGUUCGAGCCCACCCAGGGACGCCUCUCUCUUUUACGCGCGGUAGUUUUGCUCAGAUCUGGAGUUCAGGCUUUCUGGCUACGCUGGCUUGAACUUCCAGGAACUGGAGCAAAGCGCGGACUCUUCAUGACCCCCUGGCGGGCGGCUCUUCGGCUUCCGGGAGUGCUGGGUGCCCCUCCUCUCUGCCCCGGGAGCGCCGCGGGCUGCGGGGCGAGCAGGGCCAGGCGGGGCGGCAGCGCGCGCCCCGGGACCCCCCCACCCCGCCCUCGGCGGCGUCCGCCCUCGCUCGGGACACCUUGAGGGUCACGGGCGCGCAGAGAGCCUGUGUUUGGGCAGUGCUGAGUUCCAGCUGCAAACUGACGUGCACGUCUCGGCUUUUGUUGGAGUGUGGCCCGCUUUGUUCCUCGGCGUGCACGUCCUAGGGCACUGCGUCCACGCCUUGCACGAAGCACGUCAUGAUUUCUCCAUGGCCUAUGCAAUGCCGGCAUCACGACCCUUGCGCUCUGGAACCGUUAGUGAGUAAAAUAAGGAUUCAUUGAACACAAGCUGUGAUCCCACGACAGUGGAUCCCAUAACCUGGACCACCGAUGACUCACAGGCAGGCAGUGUAGAGCGAGGAGCCGCUGGACCAAGGCAUGAUUCACAUUCCAUGCAGAGCAGUGCGGGGGAAUUCGUCACACACGCUUCUCAGCACGGGGCACAAUUUCAAAUCUGUGAAUGGUUUCUUUCUGGAAUAGUUGGCCUCGGGAAAUGAUUUGCCAAAGAAGAUAAAAACAACAGAAUCUGAUACAUGGUGUGCAAUAUACACAGGAAAGGAAAGUUCGGACUAUAAAUUUUUUUCUUUGCUUUACAUUACCAAAGUUUUUGGCACAGAAGACAUUCAUAUGAGGACAGUACGAGGGGCUGAAGUGUCAAUAAAAAGGAAUGACUUUGGUUGAGCAGGAAGUCCUGGAGGCAGAAUCACCUGCAGAAAACACACUGAAUGCUGUGUGUGAAACUCCUCUCUGAAUAGCGGGAGCUCACUGCCGCACUGGUGGAAUAGUUUUCAGGGGUCCUUGCUUCACUCCCCAAGACCUACUUUCCUGGAGAGAACGUGAAGACAGUGGAUCUCGGGGAAGGGUGCCAUCAAGUGGGGAGAAUGGCACAAGGAUGGGGAGGCUAACAGCACUGAACAUGAAGUUCAUCUGCUUUACCAUUUUCCCUGGGACUUAGCGUUGGCCCCACUUCUAAAAAGAUCCAUUCUAAUUGAUCGGACUUACUCGCAGACAACUGAGUAGACAAAAGAGAUAUGACGUGAAUAUGUUUUUUCAAAAGCCAUAGAAAAUCAUGCUUUGCAAAUAAUCAGUACAAAGACUUCUGGAUAAUCAUGGUGGAUUGAACAGAUGCAUUUAUUUAUGAUCCCUCUAUAAACCUCACUAAGAGGAUAUUAAAGGAUUAAACAGGAACAAACCCACAAGAACAAAGAGAACAGCAGAGGAAAUGACAACAGACAAAAGACGUCAACCAAGAUUGGGAAAGCAAAUGAAUGAUACCUGAUUUAGCGGUGUGAAUAUGGUUGAAACCCAAGGCUCGGGUGCAGAGCUGGCCAGAGGCAAGCUGCUUCUCCCACAGAACCCCAGAGAGCCGCAGGAAUUUGCAGGAAGCAGAAACCUCUGAGGGAGGGAACUCAGUGGCUCUGACAUUCAGAGAAUUGCUCCAGAAACUCCAAGCUCCAGCUGCCGGGUCACCUCCCUCAUGUCAGGGAGUGGGGCAGCUGCCAGUCCCCAGGCAUUUACAAGACUGGAGGUUUGUUCUGGGGGUUAUGUGGAUGAAUUUGAGAUGGGGAAAAAAUCAAGCAAAGGAAAAUAUUUGGGGGAACGUUAUCACAGAGCCUCAUGUGGCUCAUGGGUGCAGAUUUAUGGUCAUGAUAAUGCACCAUAGAAAAGUUGAUUCAUUAUGCUAUGACUACAUUGAGAGGAGGGAAAAUGGUUGGUUUGUUUGGUAGGUAAGAAAUAUUAAUUUCCAACAAGAAGUCAAAACCCAGCAUUAUAAACAUCAGGGAAAAAAAUCAAAGAAUAGCAGAAUAAAGGAUUAUUUUGAUAUAUAGUAAUAUGAAUUAGAAGAAAGCCAAGACUUGGGAGUAGGGCCUCCAUAGAGUGGAAUUUCAGAUAGGGAAGGAGCACUUUUUACAAAGUUUCAGUUGUAACUGAAAUCCUGAAGCAAGCAUUUUAGGAACUAUUUUUCCCCUGCUCUGUUUUAUUCUCUGCUUUUCAAAACAUGCCAAAGUGUGAAAAUUUUUUAAAAAUCCACAUUGUUGCUUUACAAAAUGUCAAUAUUGUUCUGAGCUUCGACAUAAUUAAAAAUGAAACUAAGAAAAAUA